rnacentral:rRNA from 1 species
GACGGAGGGUGCAAGCGUUGCUCGGAAUCACUGGGCGUAAAGGGCGCGUAGGCGGCCUGGCAAGUCUGGUGUGAAAGCCCAGGGCUCAGCCCUGGAAGGGCGCUAGAAACUGCGUGGCUCGAGUGCCGGAGGGGAGAGUGGAAUUCCUGGUGUAGCGGUGAAAUGCGUAGAUAUCAGGAGGAACACCAAUGGCGAAGGCAGCUCGCUGGAACGUUACUGACGCUGAGGCGCGAAAGCGUGGGGAGCGAACAGG